CAAGACAGAAUGCGCGGUCGGAGGAUGCCUCGGCACGACCAGCCGAUGAAGGACGCCAGUCAGCGGCGAAAGAGUGGGGGAGCGGCAACUACGCAUUGAGCCCACUGUGUCCGAAUGGGGCAACCCCACACACUGUUGGUGUGUGACCCACAGCUUGUGGGAGGGAACGCGGCGAACUGAAACAUCUUAGUAGCCGCAGGAAGUAGUAAUCGGCCCGUAGUAGUGGCGAGCGAACCGGGCUGCUGUCCAAACCACUUACGUGCCAAGCGUGCACGCGUUGCGUAGGUGGGGUUGUGAGACGUGUCGUCAGGGGUGCAUCCUUGGCAGCGUGACAUGAAGGGGUGCGGGAAGCGUCUGGGAUGACGCCCUACAGAUGGUGAUAGGCCAGUACCUCAACCCUCCAUGCGCGUGACACCCAUCUCGAGUACCACGGGACACGUGAAAUCCCGUGGGAAGCUGGGCUGACCACAGUCCAAGACAACCUACUGGUCGUGACCGAUAGUGCACAGUACCGUGAGGGAACGGUGAAAAGCACCCCGGUGAGGGGAGUGAAAUAGAGCCUGAAACCGAUCGCGUCCAUGCAGUGAGAGCGCUAGCUCCUUCGGGAGAUGCGUGAUCGCGUGCCUUUUGGAGAAUGACCCGACGAGUUACUACGUGUCGCCAGCCUAAGCCAGUUACAGGCGGAGGCGCAGCGAACGCGAGCGUGAAUAGCGCAUUUCGUGGCAUGUAGUAGACCUGAAACCGUGUGAGCUACCCAUGGCCAGGGUGAAGCGUCCGUAACAGGACGUGGAGGCCCGAACUGAUUAGUGUUGCAAAACUAUCGGAUGAGUUGUGGGUAGGGGUGAAAUGCCAAUCGAACACGGAGAUAGCUGGUUCUCCCCGAAAUGCAUUGAGGUGCAGCCGGCGUGACUAGUGAUGACGGGGGUAGAGCACUGUUGCGACGCGGGGGCUUCACCGCCUACCAACUCGCGGCAAACUGCGAAUACCGUCACCACCCCACGACCGAGUGAGACGGCGGGUGCGAAUAUUCGUCGUCAAAAGGGCAACAGCCCAGACCCACCGCUAAGGUCCCCAAGUGUGUGUUUAGUAGGCAAGGAAGUAUCGAUGCUCAGACAACCAGGAGGUUGGCUUAGAAGCAGCCACCCUUGAAAGAGUG
rnacentral:rRNA from 1 species